GAGUGGCCUUGCUGCCACGA
rnacentral:snRNA from 1 species